UACAGCGGGAAGCCACCUGGUGACAGGGAGCGGAACCCGAAAGCCUGUCUCAGUUCGGAUUGGAGUCUGCAACCCGACUCCAUGAAGCUGGAUUCGCUAGUAAUCGCGCAUCAGCCACGGCGCGGUGAGUACGUUCCCGGGCCUUGUACACACCGCCCGUCACACCAUGGGAGCCGGUAAUACCCGAAGUCAGUAGUCCAACCUCGUGAGGACGCUGCCGAAGGUGGGAUUGAUAAUUAGGGUGAAGUCGUAACAAGGUACC
rnacentral:rRNA from 1 species